AAUAAAGAAGCAAAAUUUUGCAUUUAGUUUCGACCUAAAAAUUUGGUUACUUAAACCCUUAUUU
rnacentral:tRNA from 1 species